rnacentral:rRNA from 1 species
GACGGAGGAUGCAAGUGUUAUCCGGAAUCACUGGGCGUAAAGCGUCUGUAGGUGGUUCAAUAAGUCAACUGUUAAAUCUUGAGGCUCAACUUCAAAAUCGCAGUCGAAACUAUUGGACUCGAGUAUAGUAGGGGUAAAGGGAAUUUCCAGUGGAGCGGUGAAAUGCGUAGAGAUUGGAAAGAACACCAAUGCGAAGCAACU